CGGCGCCAUUUUGUGCUCAGAGAAGCUACAGCCGCCGGCGGUGUGUGGAAUAGGUGGCAGAGACGGGAAACCCGGGAUGGCGGAGACUCUGGCAGGGUCCGGUGACUCGGGUUCUGGCACAGCCGCUGUCGUCUCGGGCGCCUCAGAGGUCGGGACGCGGCGGCUCAGUGACUUGCGGGUGAUCGAUUUGCGGGCGGAGCUGAAGAAGCGGAACCUGGACACGGGCGGCAACAAGAGCGUCCUGAUGGAGCGGCUCAAGAAGGCGGUUAAGGAAGAAGGUCAAGAUCCUGAUGAAAUUGGCGUCGCGUUGGAAGCCACAAGCAAGAGGACGACAAAGAAAUGCGUUAAAGGACAAAAGACGGAGGAGGAAGGCACAGAAGACAAUGGCCUGGAAGAAGAUUCCAGAGACGGGCAGGAGGACAUGGAAGCAAGUUUGGAGAGUUUGCAGAAUAUUGACAUGAUGGACGUUAACGUGUUAGAAGAAACCGAAGUCGAGAAUAGCGGUGCUCCAGACUUCGGGGAGGAUGGCGCUGACAGCAUUCUCGAGUCCCUAUGCGAGAGCAAAGACUACGUGGCUGUGCAGCUGAGGGAGCUCCCAGCUCAGUUCACAGGACACUCUGUAGACGGGGAGGGCUUUGAGAACACUUUGGAUGCUUCAUCAUUGGACUUCAAAGUGCCUCCGGAUAUUGAAGAACCUCUAUUGGAGCCAGAAAAUGAGAAAAUACUCGACAUUUUGGGGGAAACUUGUAAAUCUGAGCCAGUAAAAGAAGAAGGUUCCGAGCUGGAGCAGCCAUUUGCACAGGAAACAAGUAGCGUGGGGCCAGACAGAAAGCUUGCGGAGGAAGAGGACCUUUUUGACAGCGCCCAUCCGGAGGAGGGUGAUUUAGAUUUGGCCAGCGAGUCAACAGCACAAGCUCAGUCGAGCAAGGCAGACACCCUGUUAGCGGUAGUGAAAAGGGAGCCCGUGGAGCAGACAGGCGAUGGCGAGAGGACGGACUGUGAGCCUGUAGGGCUAGAGAAGCCAGUUGAGCAGAGUAGUAAAGCCUCAGAGCACACGGAAGCCUGUAGCGAGGAGGCCUCGGAAGCGCCCCCGGAAGCCUCAAGCCCAGACCCCAGGGAUAGCAAAGAAGACGUGAAGAAGUUUGCUUUUGAAGCUUGUAAUGAAGUCCCUCCGGCUCCUAAAGAGUCCUCAGCCAGUGAGGGCGCUGAUCAGAAAAUGAGCUCUUUUAAGGAAGAAAAAGAUAUAAAGCCAAUCAUUAAAGAUGAAAAAGGUCGAAUCAGCAGUAGUUCUGGAAGGAAUCUGUGGGUCAGUGGACUGUCUUCCACAACUCGAGCGACAGAUCUGAAGAACCUUUUCAGCAAAUACGGAAAGGUGGUUGGAGCCAAAGUGGUGACCAAUGCCCGCAGUCCCGGGGCCCGAUGCUACGGGUUUGUCACCAUGUCAACGUCCGAUGAGGCCACAAAGUGUAUCAGCCAUCUCCACAGAACUGAGCUUCAUGGAAGAAUGAUCUCUGUUGAGAAGGCCAAAAACGAACCUGCUGGGAAAAAGCUGUCUGACAGAAAAGAAUGUGAAGUGAAGAAGGAAAAAUUGUCUAAUGUUGACAGACAUCAUUCUGUGGAGAUCAAAGUUGAAAAAACUGUAAUUAAGAAGGAAGAGAAGAUGGAGAAGAAGGAGGAAAGAAAACCUGAAAACAUUAAAAAGGAAGAAAAAGAUGAAGAUGAGCUGAAACCAGGAGCAGCCAAUCGGUCCCGAGUCACCAGAUCAGGAAGCAGAGGCAUGGAACGAACAGUUGUGAUGGAUAAAUCGAAAGGGGAGCCUGUCAUUAGUGUGAAAACCACAAGCAGGUCAAAGGAGAGAAGCUCAAAGAGUCAGGAUCGCAAAUCGGAAAGCAAAGAGAAGAGAGACAUCUUGUCCUUUGACAAAAUCAAAGAGCAAAGGGAACGAGAGCGCCAGAGGCAGCGGGAACGGGAAAUCCGAGAGACAGAGAGGCGGCGAGAGCGUGAGCAGCGUGAGAGGGAGCAGCGCCUCGACGCCCUCCACGAGGGGAAGGAGAAGGCUCGGCUGCAGCGGGAGCGCCUGCAGCUCGAGCGCCAGCGGCAGCGGUUGGAGCGGGAGCGGCUGGAACGGGAGCGGCUGGAACGGGAGCGUGAGCGCGUGGAGCGGGAGCGCCGGAAGGAGCAGGAGCGCAUCCAGCGGGAGCGCGAGGAGCUGCGGCACCAGCAGGAGCAGUUGCGCUACGAGCAGGAGCGGCGGUCGGUGCUCAGGAGGCCCUACGACGUUGGGCGGCGAGAUGACGCCUAUUGGCCAGAGGGAAAGCGCAUGGCCAUGGAGGACAGAUAUCGCCCAGACUUCCCUCGGCCCGAUCACCGUUUCCACGACUUUGACCACCGUGACCGGGGCCAGUACCAGGAGCACGUGGCUGACAGGAGGGAAGGUUCAAGGUCAGUGAUGGGAGAGCGAGAUGGGCAGCACUACUCAGACGACCGCCACGGCCACGGAGGACCACCAGAGCGCCAUGGCCGCGACUCCCGAGACGGCUGGGGUGGCUACGGCUCCGACAAGAGAAUGAGCGAGGGCCGGGGGCUGCCUCCUCCCCCCAGGGGUGGCCGUGACUGGGCGGAGCACAGCCAGAGGCUGGAGGAGCAUCAGGAGCGCGCCUGGCCGGGCACAGUGGAUGCGGGCACGGCGGGCCGGGAGCACUUGCGGUGGCAAGGUGGUGAGAGGGGCCUGUCUGGGCCCUCGGGGCCAGGGCAUGUGGCAAGUCGGGGUGGAAUAUCGGGCUGUGUGUGUGUCUCAGUGAUGACAGAGCAGAGAGCAGUGUCAGCCCUCGGCGGCACCCUUUUGUUUGGGUAGCAGAGGCCGGCUCGUGUUCCUGAAUUCUCACAGCUCUCAAUGAAGUGGGGCUGUGCACCUCCCCAUCUUACAGGUGAAGUCUCAUUUGUGAUUAUAAGCAGCAGCAGUCUUCUUCAUUAAAGACCCCUGUGUGGCCAGAGGGGCCAUCUCUGUUCCUCUGGAAGGAUCGUGGCUGCCCACGCACAGCUGAUGUCGGGACACGGAAUGGGUGACUGCAGGCUUGUUGGGGCAGAAGCCAUGAAUGAGGUGGCCUGGUGGCCACAAGACUGAUCUGGGACCUGCGCAGGGCCUGGGGUCAAGAGGGACGCUGGUUUGCCGCGAAUCUCAGCCCUGGACCGGCAUGGUCUGGAUUGGCGUGUGAAGAGUUAACCCAUGUGCCGCCUGCUGGCAACCUGAUUCCCUCCCUCCCCUCCGUAACUAGGACAGCCACCCCACAGGCCCCAGAACAAUUGCCAAUUCUCCUGGAGUUCCCUGUGUCCCUGCUGGGGUGUUUAGUUUGAAAAGAGCAAUCUGAAAACCCUGCCCAGCUUGCCGAGGAAGCCGGCCCUCGAGUCCUGUCUGCUUGAAUUGCCCAAAUAAACACCUCAUGCGCUUCCUUCAC